UACGUAGGUCCCGAGCGUUAUCCGGAUUUACUGGGUGUAAAGGGAGCGUAGACGGCGAAGAAAGUCUGAAGUGAAAGCCCGCGGCUCAACCGCGGAACUGCUUUGGAAACUUUUUUGCUGGAGUACCGGAGAGGUAAGCGGAAUUCCUAGUGUAGCGGUGAAAUGCGUAGAUAUUAGGAGGAACACCAGUGGCGAAGGCGGCUUACUGGACGGUAACUGACGUUGAGGCUCGAAAGCGUGGGGAGCAAACAGG
rnacentral:rRNA from 1 species